ACCAAAGCUUUAUGUGCUGAAAGAUGGCCUCGCGUCUGAUUAGAUAGUUGGUGGGGUAACGGCCUACCAAGUCAACGAUCAGUAGCCGGUCUGAGAGGAUGAACGGCCACAUUGGGACUGAGAUACGGCCCAGACUCCUACGGGAGGCAGCAGUGGGGAAUAUUGGGCAAUGGGGGAAACCCUGACCCAGCAACGCCGCGUGAAGGAAGAAGGCCUUCGGGUUGUAAACUUCUUUUACCAGGGACGAAGAACGUGACGGUACCUGGAGAAAAAGCAACGGCUAACUACGUGCCAGCAGCCGCGGUAAUACGUAGGUUGCAAGCGUUGUCCGGAUCUACUGGGUGUAAAGGGCGUGUAGGCGGAGCUGCAAGUCAGAUGUGAAAUCCCGGGGCUCAACCCCGGAACUGCAUUUGAAACUGUAGCCCUUGAGUAUCGGAGAGGCAAGCGGAAUUCCUAGUGUAGCGGUGAAAUGCGUAGAUAUUAGGAGGAACACCAGUGGCGAAGGCGGCUUGCUGGACGACAACUGACGCUGAGGCGCGAAAGCGUGGGGAGCAAACAGGAUUAGAUACCCUGGUAGUCCACGCUGUAAACGAUGAAUACUAGGUGUGGGAGGACUGACCCCUUCCGUGCCGCAGUUAACACAAUAAGUAUUCCACCUGGGGAGUACGACCGCAAGGUUGAAACUCAAAGGAAUUGACGGGGGCCCGCACAAGCAGUGGAUUAUGCGGUUUAAUUCGACGCAACGCGAAGAACCUUACCAGGACUUGACAUCCAACUAACGAAGUAGAGAUACAUUAGGUGCCCUUCGGGGAAAGUUGAGACAGGUGGUGCAUGGUUGUCGUCAGCUCGUGUCGUGAGAUGUUGGGUUAAGUCCCGCAACGAGCGCAACCCCUAUUGUUAGUUGCUACGCAAGAGCACUCUAGCGAGACUGCCGUUGACAAAACGGAGGAAGGCGGGGACGACGUCAAAUCAUCAUGCCCCUUAUGUCCUGGGCUACACACGUAAUACAAUGGCCGUCAACAAAGGGAAGCAAUACUGCGAAGUGGAGCAAAUCCCCAAAAACGGUCUCAGUUCGGAUUGCAGGCUGCAAUU
rnacentral:rRNA from 1 species